AAUGCACGGGAAGAUAUCAAGGGAAGAGGUUGCCCGCAUUUGUGUUGCUGCUCUGGAAAGCCCAUAUGCAUCUGACAAGACAUUUGAGGUUAAAAGUGUCAUUCCAUUCAGUGAACCAUUCACAGUGGACCCUGAAAACCCUCCCCCUGAGAAGGACUAUAAUAUAUACUUCAAAACUUUGAAGGAUGGUGUUAUAGGGAAAGAAGUCUUGGAGCAUACUCCCGUGUUAGCUUGACGACUUCACAUGAUGGGUCCAUUUUCAGCAUUAUUACAUGCAAGUACAAGAGAGUACACAGAUCCUGGGUUUUUAUGUUGAGAAGGAUGGCUCGUACUCAGUCCAUUUACUAUCCCCAUCCAAAUGUUUACCACGAAAUUCUGUGUUCAAAAUAUUUCACCAUAGAGUGCUGUGUCGUUCAUUGGCAAAUAGCCUAGAGGUCAUCAUACCUCAUGCAUGGGAUUGAAUCCCUCCUUCCACUAAUGAAAGUUUAAUUGUUGUGAAUACAA